GAUGAACGCUAGCGGCAGGCUUAACACAUGCAAGUCGAGGGGUAGAAGUUGCUUGCAACUUUGAGACCGGCGCACGGGUGCGUAACGCGUAUGCAAUCUACCUUAUACAGAGGGAUAGCCCAGAGAAAUUUGGGUUAAUACCUCAUAGUAUAAUUGAAUGGCAUCAUUUAAUUAUUAAAGUUCCAACGGUAUAAGAUGAGCAUGCGUCCUAUUAGCUAGAUGGUAAGGUAACGGCUUACCAUGGCAACGAUAGGUAGGGGUCCUGAGAGGGAGAUCCCCCACACUGGUACUGAGACACGGACCAGACUCCUACGGGAGGCAGCAGUGAGGAAUAUUGGACAAUGGGCGCAAGCCUGAUCCAGCCAUGCCGCGUGCAGGAAGAAGCAUCUAUGGUGUGUAAACUGCUUUUGUACGGGAAGAAACGCCCCUUCGUGAUGGGACUUGACGGUACCGUAAGAAUAAGGAUCGGCUAACUCCGUGCCAGCCGCCGCCGUAA
rnacentral:rRNA from 1 species